rnacentral:rRNA from 1 species
CUUUUAUGGAGAGUUUGAUCCUGGCUCAGAGUGAACGCUGGCGGCGUGCCUAAUACAUGCAAGUCGAACGAUGAAGCUUCUAGCUUGCUAGAAGUGGAUUAGUGGCGCACGGGUGAGUAACGCAUAGGUCAUGUGCCUCUUAGUUUGGGAUAGCCAUUGGAAACGAUGAUUAAUACCAGAUACUCCCUACGGGGGAAAGAUUUAUCGCUAAGAGAUCAGCCUAUGUCCUAUCAGCUUGUUGGUAAGGUAAUGGCUUACCAAGGCUAUGACGGGUAUCCGGCCUGAGAGGGUGAACGGACACACUGGAACUGAGACACGGUCCAGACUCCUACGGGAGGCAGCAGUAGGGAAUAUUGCUCAAUGGGGGAAACCCUGAAGCAGCAACGCCGCGUGGAGGAUGAAGGUUUUAGGAUUGUAAACUCCUUUUGUUAGAGAAGAUAAUGACGGUAUCUAACGAAUAAGCACCGGCUAACUCCGUGCCAGCAGCCGCGGUAAUACGGAGAGUGCAAGCGUUACUCGGAAUCACUGGGCGUAAAGAGCGCGUAGGCGGGAUAGUCAGUCAGGUGUGAAAUCCUAUGGCUUAACCAUAGAACUGCAUUUGAAACUACUAUUCUAGAGUGUGGGAGAGGUAGGUGGAAUUCUUGGUGUAGGGGUAAAAUCCGUAGAGAUCAAGAGGAAUACUCAUUGCGAAGGCGACCUGCUGGAACAUUACUGACGCUGAUUGCGCGAAAGCGUGGGGAGCAAACAGGAUUAGAUACCCUGGUAGUCCACGCCCUAAACGAUGGAUGCUAGUUGUUGGAGGGCUUAGUCUCUCCAGUAAUGCAGCUAACGCAUUAAGCAUCCCGCCUGGGGAGUACGGUCGCAAGAUUAAAACUCAAAGGAAUAGACGGGGACCCGCACAAGCGGUGGAGCAUGUGGUUUAAUUCGAAGAUACACGAAGAACCUUACCUAGGCUUGACAUUGAGAGAAUCCGCUAGAAAUAGUGGAGUGUCUAGCUUGCUAGACCUUGAAAACAGGUGCUGCACGGCUGUCGUCAGCUCGUGUCGUGAGAUGUUGGGUUAAGUCCCGCAACGAGCGCAACCCCCUUUCUUAGUUGCUAACAGGUCAUGCUGAGAACUCUAAGGAUACUGCCUCCGUAAGGAGGAGGAAGGUGGGGACGACGUCAAGUCAUCAUGGCCCUUACGCCUAGGGCUACACACGUGCUACAAUGGGGUGCACAAAGAGAAGCAAUACUGCGAAGUGGAGCCAAUCUUCAAAACGCCUCUCAGUUCGGAUUGUAGGCUGCAACUCGCCUGCAUGAAGCUGGAAUCGCUAGUAAUCGCAAAUCAGCCAUGUUGCGGUGAAUACGUUCCCGGGUCUUGUACUCACCGCCCGUCACACCAUGGGAGUUGUGUUUGCCUUAAGUCAGGAUGCUAAAUUAGCUACUGCCCACGGCACACACAGCGACUGGGGUGAAGUCGUAACAAGGUAACCGUAGGUGAACCUGCGGUUGGAUCACCUCCUUUCU